CCGAGGCCGCCGGGCUCCUGGGAAAGGCACCCCUCCGCCCCAGGCCGCCUCGUGCUUAUGGCGCCGCCCCAGUCUUCCAAAUAGCUAACCUCGAACUAGGUGGGUCACUACCGCGCGAAGGCAAAUGACCUUCAAGGUCAGAAGCAAGCAAACCGUGGUCUCAACUCUCAGCUGGAAGUUGCCGGGAGAUCACUGUCGCUAGCGCCUGACAAGACGCGGCCCCCUGCGCCACCCCGUGGGAACCAAGGGUACCAAAACCUCCCGGGGAGACCGGCCUUGGACAAGAGAACGUUCCUCGCAAGCGGAUUUUUUUCCUCAUAUCGCUCUUUUUAAAGACUUUGUCUCUCUUGUCUCCCAAUCAAGAGAAUGAUUUGACUCUACCCUGUCCAUCCUAUCUACGCCCCGCUACCCCAACAGUUGAUUGCAUCCAUGGACACAGAGCCCAAGGAUACAGAGGGCCUUGACUUUGAAUAAAUGAGACAGGAUCCUUAAGAAUUAUGCUAAAUCUACUUUGCCUGUGCUCUAUAAAUGGAACAACAAGCCUGGAUUACAGCAUAUCUGUUUACCACAUGGUUUUCUGAAUAUUUUAAGCCCAUUGUUGAGAUCUCCUGCUCAGAAGAAAAGAUUGCUUUCAAAAUAUGACUGCUCAUUGUCAAAGCACCUGGUCACCCAAGAGCUCUGAUGGAGAGAUACUGAAACUGCCACCAGGUGGGAGAAGUUAACUUCGUGCUGCCCACAAGCACAUAGACCCCAGACCAGCUGGAACCAGAAGGUUGGUGAUGUUGACUCCUGAUUACUUCACCACCAGCCAGUCAGAAGAAUGUCUAGGAGCGGAUCAGAUUUAACAGAUCCUUAAAUUCACUUUACUGUACUGUAUACUUCCUUCUGGCAAUCGAGCUUUGGCACAUGCGUUUUCAGACUUCAUUGAGGAACUCCAGAUUGAGACACGCUGGAAUGUGGAUUGAGUCCAUGGUCAGAGAAGAUGGAUUAAAUGGGAACAAAACGGGAAACGUGUGCUUGAAGUCUAACAGCAGGUGCUGGGCAGGGAGAAGGUGCAUGAUUUAAUUUGGAAAAUCUGAUUUCCUCAUGCUGGUCUCAUUCUGCACUACCACCCUGUGGAGGGCCCAUUUCUAAACAGACACAUUCAUGACGGAGGGCAAGGUCACCUGUGUGUGGACAAGAUUUAUCUUUUUACAGACUGGUAAUAUCUCUGCAACCGAGUCCUAGUACAAAUACAAUUUUGAGGGGAAAAGGAAAGGAACAUUUAAAUGCCUCUAGCUAGAUUCUCACUGACUUUAUUUAAAAUAAUGUAAAUGGAUGCUAAGUGAAAACAGGACCAUAACGGAAUCAUAGCUGUAAAGAAAACAAUUUAAUGCCAAAUGCCAGAUGCUUAAGUUUCUAGGUGAGAGACAUUCCAGAAUUCACUGUAAGCAUUUAAAAAAGUGUGUGCCUAAGCUUGACGUUUUGUGGGUUGACUACCUUAUCUUUCUACGUAAGCAAGAGACACCAGAGAGUUACUGGGAAACCGUGUCAUCUUGUUUCACAGACCGAAGUAGCCUUUGGUUCAUCCAGAACAUCCCAUCCUCUGGACCUUCAGGACUGUAUCAUUGGGAGCAGAAAGGGCCAGGAGUGCCACACUAAGAAACAACCACCGGCAGGAACAGACUUGAAAUGGAAGCUGGGUUUGCUCUGAGGCCCUCGGCUGACAGUGACCACACCUGCUGGGUGCUGAGGGCGGUGCACAGGGAACAGAUGGCCUCUGCAUCUUCGGGGCUUUUCUUCUUUAACUGCAGGAGCUGGGCUGCUUGGAUCAGAGGUUCCAUGGUCUCAGCAACUUCCCUCUGGUGCAGGUUUCUUCCCCGAAGCCACUCCUCCAGCUGACUUAUAUUGUACCUUAGACACAGGAAAAGUGAGUUCUGUUAAACCUGGCCGCCUACUUCACUGGGAAGAGCUCACCUCUUGUGUUUAUUUUGCAGGCCAGCUGCCGUUAGUGUUAUCAUUCUCCUCAUCUUAACUGUCCCACAUGGGCAAAAGCGUGAAAAGUACCUGGCACUCAAUAACUUUUUGUGAAAUGAGUGGGUGCUUAAAAUCAAGCCAAGAUGAAGUAUCUAAAGUGUCUGUACUAAGUUAAUGAGAAAAAAAGGCAUUAACUAUAUUGAAUUAAAACAACUUACCAUUUAACAUUCGCAAACAUGUUUGUACUUCCCUGUGAGCCUUCGUGCCUCUUAAGUCAGUAAUUUUUCUCUCUGACCUAUCCACCUCAUAUUUACAACCUUCGUAUCCAAGUAUGUAAACGUGUUUAAGCGCUGAACUAACUUGUUUACCGGGUCACCAUCUCUGUGUGUGAUGAAUUUCACCAGCCAAUAAGAAGGUGAUGGAUCUGAGUCUCAUACUGACUGUGACAAGGACGCUCAGUUGCAUUUGGAUUUCAGUUUCAGAGACAAGUGUCCCGUGCCCGACUGGGGCUGGUGUGUGCCGGGCCAAGGCGCCUCUCGUACCUGAGCUGCAUGCCUGUGCUCCAGGAGCAGACGUCCUUCCUCAGAAGCAGGUUGUUGAGCGUCACCGCGUUGAUCAUGUAGAAGAGCUGUUUGAACACCUGCAGGAUGAUCUCGGGGUCCAGGCCCUGGUCGCACAUGACUGUGUGGAAGGAAUUCAUCUGGCGGAUGACGGCUCCCAGGCAGUAGGAGUUAUCUCCAUCCGCCAGGCUGGAGGUGCGCUUCCGGUAGCCCGUGGGCUUCACCCCAGACAGACCCUGAAUGCUCUCGUUCUCCAACAUGGCAGACACUGAAAGAAAAGCAUGAUUAGAGAAGCUGCAUGUUCCCAAAGAAGAUCUGUUUUCGGGUCACUGAGAUCACACAGUACUCAGGGCUUUGGCAGUGAUCCCACCCAGAGGUGAACAAGGUCGACGUGCUCAGGAACUUACAGCAUUUGGCAUGGAAUUUCUAACCUGUUGAUUUCUACACAGAAUAGGACUUCCACACAGAAAUCUUGGACUAAACCUGUGGACCAAAUUUUUGCGUAAAUUUAUUGGUGAUGGGACAGAGGUAAAAGGCACGUACCGACUUAAUUCUGUUCUGGCUUCUGUGCUGCGAGACCAAAAUGGAGCAACUUGGGUGUAGUCAUGGCCCAGCCACUGCCCUGGGCCUGGACCCUGAGAUCAGCCUAUAGGUGUUCAAAUAGCUUUUCUCCAUCAGCCACCGACCAUGUAAAUCCUAGGUGAGCUGGUCUGUCAUACUUACUGCCCAGCACUUAACUACAGGUCAGGCACUUUAUAUUCAGUAUUCCUUUUAGUCUUCCAACAACCCAUUUCCUAAUGAGGAGACUGAGGCAUAAAGAGGUUAAAUAACUUGCCCAAGGUCACCCUGCUAGGAAGUGGCAGGGCCAGGAUUUGAACCCAGGUAUGUCUGAUUCCAGAACUGAUGCUGCUAACCAUCAUCUUACCUGAGUCAUGAAACAUCCCCAGUUCUCCCUGUCUGGUGAGAAUAAACUGGCGCCUCAUAAGAGUCUCAGACAGGAAGAAGGAUUUGGAAUGAAUCUUAUCCCAAGGGGUAUAUUUCUGGAUGGCAUGUAGGACUCUGUCCUACUUGGAAUUCACUUGUAACCUACUUGUGUUGUAAGAACCUGGGGAAAGAAUUACUUACAUGGUCCAGGAGACUAUUUCCUCAACAGCCUGUAAGGAGCACAGUGAGCGAUGCAUAUACGUGUCACUUUUCUCGUGACUUAAAAAAUAACUGCUCUGAUUUUCAAAUCUGAUUUCAUGUUAAGUGCCCAAGUGUACUGCUUUGGACAGAAUGUUUAAUAAAUAUUUAUUGCACGA